rnacentral:lncRNA from 1 species
AACCCUGGAUCAGAUGGUCUUCCAGGCCGAGAUGGAUCUCCUGGUGGCAAGGGUGAUCGUGGUGAAAAUGGCUCUCCUGGUGCCCCUGGCGCUCCUGGUCAUCCAGGCCCACCUGGUCCUGUCGGUCCAGCUGGAAAGAGUGGUGACAGAGGAGAAAGGCCCUGCUGGCCCUGCUGGUGCUCCCGGUCCUGCUGGUUCCCGAGGUGCUCCUGGUCCUCAAGGCCCACGUGGUGACAAAGGUGAAACAGGUGAACGUGGAGCUGCUGGCAUCAAAGGACAUCGAGGAUUCCCUGGUAAUCCAGGUGCCCCAGGUUCUCCAGGCCCUGCUGGUCAGCAGGGUGCAAUCGGCAGUCCAGGACCUGCAGGCCCCAGAGGACCUGUUGGACCCAGUGGACCUCCUGGCAAAGAUGGAACCAGUGGACAUCCAGGUCCCAUUGGACCACCAGGGCCUCGAGGUAACAGAGGUGAAAGAGGAUCUGAGGGCUCCCCAGGCCACCCAGGGCAACCAGGCCCUCCUGGACCUCCUGGUGCCCCUGGUCCUUGCUGUGGUGGUGUUGGAGCCGCUGCCAUUGCUGGGAUUGGAGGUGAAAAAGCUGGCGGUUUUGCCCCGUAUUAUGGAGAUGAACCAAUGGAUUUCAAAAUCAACACCGAUGAGAUUAUGACUUCACUCAAGUCUGUUAAUGGACAAAUAGAAAGCCUCAUUAGUCCUGAUGGUUCUCGUAAAAACCCCGCUAGAAACUGCAGAGACCUGAAAUUCUGCCAUCCUGAACUCAAGAGUGGAGAAUACUGGGUUGACCCUAACCAAGGAUGCAAAUUGGAUGCUAUCAAGGUAUUCUGUAAUAUGGAAACUGGGGAAACAUGCAUAAGUGCCAAUCCUUUGAAUGUUCCACGGAAACACUGGUGGACAGAUUCUAGUGCUGAGAAGAAACACGUUUGGUUUGGAGAGUCCAUGGAUGGUGGUUUUCAGUUUAGCUACGGCAAUCCUGAACUUCCUGAAGAUGUCCUUGAUGUGCAUCUGGCAUUCCUUCGACUUCUCUCCAGCCGAGCUUCCCAGAACAUCACAUAUCACUGCAAAAAUAGCAUUGCAUACAUGGAUCAGGCCAGUGGAAAUGUAAAGAAGGCCCUGAAGCUGAUGGGGUCAAAUGAAGGUGAAUUCAAGGCUGAAGGAAAUAGCAAAUUCACCUACACAGUUCUGGAGGAUGGUUGCACGAAACACACUGGGGAAUGGAGCAAAACAGUCUUUGAAUAUCGAACACGCAAGGCUGUGAGACUACCUAUUGUAGAUAUUGCACCCUAUGACAUUGGUGGUCCUGAUCAAGAAUUUGGUGUGGACGUUGGCCCUGUUUGCUUUUUAUAAACCAAACUCUAUCUGAAAUCCCAACAAAAAAAAUUUAACUCCAUAUGUGUUCCUCUUGUUCUAAUCUUGUCAACCAGUGCAAGUGACCGACAAAAUUCCAGUUAUUUAUUUCCAAAAUGUUUGGAAACAGUAUAAUUUGACAAAGAAAAAUGAUACUUCUCUUUUUUUGCUGUUCCACCAAAUACAAUUCAAAUGCUUUUUGUUUUAUUUUUUUACCAAUUCCAAUUUCAAAAUGUCUCAAUGGUGCUAUAAUAAAUAAACUUCAACACUCUUUAUGAUAACAACACUGUGUUAUAUUCUUUGAAUCCUAGCCCAUCUGCAGAGCAAUGACUGUGCUCACCAGUAAAAGAUAACCUUUCUUUCUGAAAUAGUCAAAUACGAAAUUAGAAAAGCCCUCCCUAUUUUAACUACCUCAACUGGUCAGAAACACAGAUUGUAUUCUAUGAGUCCCAGAAGAUGAAAAAAAUUUUAUACGUUGAUAAAACUUAUAAAUUUCAUUGAUUA